rnacentral:rRNA from 1 species
GUCGCAUGCUCGCGGGCGCCAUGGCGGCCGCGGGAAUUCGAUUCGUAUUACCGCAGCUGCUGGCACGAAGUUAGCCGGGGCUAAUUCUUGCGGUACCGUCAUUAUCUUCCCGCACAAAAGAGCUUUACAACCCUAGGGCCUUCAUCACUCACGCGGCAUGGCUGGAUCAGGCUUGCGCCCAUUGUCCAAAAUUCCCCACUGCUGCCUCCCGUAGGAGUCUGGACCGUGUCUCAGUUCCAGUGUGGCUGGUCGUCCUCUCAGACCAGCUACCCGUCGUCGCCUUGGUAGGCCGUUACCCCACCAACAAGCUGAUAGGCCGCGGGCCCAUCCCCGACCGGCGGACCUUUCCUCGGCCAGCCAUGUGAUCGGCCGAGAGUAUCCGGUAUUAGCUCCGGUUUCCCGGGGUUAUCCCAGUGUCAGGGGCAGGUUGCCCACGUGUUACGCACCCGUUCGCCGCUGUCCCCAGUCGAGGGUUACCCCUCAACUGGCUCUCGCUCGACUUGCAUGUGUUAAGCACGCCGCCAGCGUUCGUCCUGACCCAUGAUCAAACUCUAAUCACUAGUGAAUUCGCGGCCGCCUGCAGGUCGACCAUAUGGGAGAGCUCCC